CCUCCAUGGCCCCACCAGUCCUCGUCCUCGGGGGCUUGGCACCUAAUUUUACUUGGCGCGCCUCCGUGGCGCCGCCAGUCCUCAUCCUCAAGGGUUGCGCACCUAAUCCUACUCGGUGUGCCUCCAUGGCUCCGCCAAUCCUUGUCCUUGAGGGCUGGGCGCCUAAUUGUACUCGGCGCGCCUCUGUGGCUCUACCAGUUCUCAUCCUCAAGGGCGGAGCAUCUAAU
rnacentral:lncRNA from 1 species